rnacentral:rRNA from 1 species
UACGGAGGGGGCGAGCGUUAUUCGGAAUUAUUGGGCGUAGAGGGCGCGUAGGCGGCCCGGUAAGUCAAAGGUGAAAUCCCUCGGCUCAACUGAGGAACUGCCUUUGAAACUGUCGGGCUUGAGGCCGGGAGGGGGUAGCGGAAUUCCCAGUGUAGCGGUGAAAUGCGUAGAUAUUGGGAGGAACACCAGUGGCGAAGGCGGCUACCUGGACCGGUUCUGACGCUGAUGCGCGAAAGCGUGGGUAGCAAACAGG